GGUGGGGCCGGGCGGCGGGGGCUGGAGACCCAGGCUGCGGGCGCGCGGCGAACUUCCCAACUCCGGCGCUAGGCGCGCCGGACCGCGGGGGGAGGGAGUCCCGUGGCGGGAUUUGGGGGGAGGAAGUCCCGUUUCGUGAGUGUUUCUUCGUUUCUUUAAGAGCUACCAGAAAACAGCCCACCCCCACCCCAUAAAAAAAAAAAAAAUAAGCGAGUGGGGAAGAGCCAGCCCCACGCCGGUCCGCCUCCUGCCCGCGGCCCGGCCUCCCUCCCGCUCGCCGCCUGGCUCGGCGCUCCUGCGCCCCGAGUUCUCCAUCCCCUGGAUCGCGGGCUCGCGGGGGCGCGGAGAAGAGGACCGAGGAAAGGAUUCUCUGGAAGCUGCGGGAUCCCUCAGGAAAUGGUGGUUGACAGAGCUGGACAAAUGGACGCAGCACAGUCCCUGCCCUCAAGGAGACUAGAGACGGGUCAGGGAGACAGAUGCGCACACAACUUCGGAGCCUUCACCGGGACUCCUGGGGACGUCAGCUGUGACACUCACCGGGCGUCAUGGCAGUUUCCUGCGCGGGGGCUUCUACAGAAUCUCUGCCACGUCCCGGACUUGGCUCUGUGCCGCCGUGGCAGGGAAGCCACGGUUUCCCAGCAGGGUUCACCGGACCCUCGAAGGAUGAGGAUUUCUAAAGAAAGGUCCUAAAUUUCUCAUCUAGGGGCUUUCCGCUUCUGAAAGUAUGGCCCGCUCUUAAAAGAACACAUUUUAUAGCAGGAUCUGGGACACGUGGACACGCACAUCACUGAAACAAGGGUUUCAAAAGCCAAAACUUGCCCAGAAUAGAGGUGGAACAGUCUUACCAUCGUGGUGCUCAGAGAGUGGUCCCGAACCAGCAGCAGGUGUCGCCCGGGAUCUUGUUGGAGAGGCGGACUCCCAAGCCCCACCCCACAUAUGCUCUAUGGGGGGUUCUUGGAACGUUACCAAGACUUCCAUGUGAUUCUGAUACGUUCUAAAGCUUGAGAACCACUGCAUUGUCAUAUAAUAUACUAUGCUAUUCUAAUCUAUUAAUGAAAAAAAACUUUAUUUUUUAA